GUGACCAAAACCGCACCC
rnacentral:snRNA from 1 species